rnacentral:rRNA from 1 species
AAAUUGAAGAGUUUGAUCAUGGCUCAGAUUGAACGCUGGCGGCAGGCCUAACACAUGCAAGUCGAACGGUAACAGGAAACAGCUUGCUGUUUCGCUGACGAGUGGCGGACGGGUGAGUAAUGUCUGGGAAACUGCCCGAUGGAGGGGGAUAACUACUGGAAACGGUAGCUAAUACCGCAUAACGUCGCAAGACCAAAGAGGGGGACCUUCGGGCCUCUUGCCAUCGGAUGUGCCCAGAUGGGAUUAGCUAGUAGGUGGGGUAACGGCUCACCUAGGCGACGAUCCCUAGCUGGUCUGAGAGGAUGACCAGCCACACUGGAACUGAGACACGGUCCAGACUCCUACGGGAGGCAGCAGUGGGGAAUAUUGCACAAUGGGCGCAAGCC